UGCAGCCUACCAGGCUCCUCCAUCCGUGGGAUUCUCCCGGCAAGAGAACUGGAGGGGGUUGCUAUUGCCUUCUCCAAAUCUGAAGGCAGAGGACUGCAAAGUCCAUGAAGACAGAAAAAUCAUAAAAUUUUAGAAGCUGCUUUUCUGAAUCAAUAAGCAGAAGGCCAUUUUUCCAUACAGGAAUACAUACUGCUUUGUCUCCAACUACCAAAGCUGUAAGGCCAAGGGAGAGUUACCUAGCAUUGUGA